CCUACGGGAGGCAGCAGUGGGGAAUAUUGCGCAAUGGGGGCAACCCUGACGCAGCCAUGCCGCGUGAAUGAAGAAGGCCUUCGGGUUGUAAAGUUCUUUCGGUAGCGAGGAAGGCAUUUAGUUUAAUAGACUAGGUGAUUGACGUUAACUACAGAAGAAGCACCGGCUAACUCCGUGCCAGCAGCCGCGGUAAUACGGAGGGUGCGAGCGUUAAUCGGAAUAACUGGGCGUAAAGGGCACGCAGGCGGUGACUUAAGUGAGAUGUGAAAGCCCCGAGCUUAACUUGGGAAUUGCAUUUCAUACUGGGUCGCUAGAGUACUUUAGGGAGGGGUAGAAUUCCACGUGUAGCGGUGAAAUGCGUAGAGAUGUGGAGGAAUACCGAAGGCGAAGGCAGCCCCUUGGGAAUGUACUGACGCUCAUGUGCGAAAGCGUGGGGAGCAAACAGGAUUAGAUACCCGGGUAGUC
rnacentral:rRNA from 1 species